GCGGAAAUAGCUCAGUGGUAGAGCACCACCUUGCCAAGGUGGGGGUCGCGGGUGGACUUAAAAUCCUGCGGUGAGUGAUCACCGUGCCGGUUCGAUUCCGGCCCUCGGCACCA
rnacentral:tRNA from 1 species